rnacentral:tRNA from 1 species
AAUGAAGUGCCUGAGAAAAGGAUUAUCUUGAUAGGGUAGAACACGUGAAAAUUACACCUUCAUUA